GGGUGAAUAUCAUGAACUCACAUUCAUCUGCAGUAUACAAAGACAUUGAGUAAUAAAUGUUUAGCUUUUCGCAUUUUUUCUGGCAUUUUAAUGAUACUAUUAUAUAUGAAACGGUUUUACAAAGACGAUCUCUACAUAUUUACUAUAAUAUUUUCAAAAUCGUAGCCAAUUAUUUCGUAAGGUGAUAAGCACGUAUUAAUUAUACCUAAUUUAAUUUUGAUUUUCUGCAAAUAACCUACCGCGUUUCCAAAAUUCUGAA